rnacentral:rRNA from 1 species
GUGGGGAAUCUUCCGCAAUGGACGAAAGUCUGACGGAGCAACGCCGCGUGAGUGAAGAAGGUUUUCGGAUCGUAAAGCUCUUUCGUUAGGGACGAACGUGCUCUUUGUGAAUAAUGAGGAGUAAUGACGGUACCUAAAUAAGAAGCCACGGCUAACUACGUGCCAGCAGCCGCGGUAAUACGUAGGUGGCAAGCGUUGUCCGGAAUUAUUGGGCGUAAAGCGCGCGCAGGCGGGAUAUCAAGUCUGUCUUAAAAGUGCGAGGCUCAACCGCGUGAGGGGACAGAAACUGGUAUGCUUGGGUGUCGGAGAGGAAAGUGGAAGUCCAAGUGUAGCGGUGAAAUGCGUAGAGAUUUGGAAGAACACCAGUGGCGAAGGCGACUUUCUGGACGAUGUCUGACGCUGAGGCGCGAAAGCUAGGGGAGCGAACGGGAUUAGAUACCCUAGUAGUCC